UUUUCAUUUUCCAUCCUAGGGGAAAAGUUACGUGAUAGAUGCCCCGAUAAUAAGCGCAAUUUUCACGAGAAAAAAAGCAAAGCGAUCUAGUUAGUCGGAAGCGGCGGUUUCCGCUUCCUACGCCGAAAUCGAGUGUCGAACAUGGCGUCUACUGCGGCUGUCAGCUAUCUUCUCGCGAUCGCGCUCGCGCUUACCAUCGCUCUCGCUCCUCUCGCGAGUUUUGCGAGUCCUUACUAUGCAUCCGCGAGAGUCGAGAGCUGCAAGGGUUGCUCGCUUAACCGGCUGCCAGACGUCAAACAGUUCAUAUUCGAGGACUUGCCGCAAUACGACAACGUUGAAUUUAAACAUAUCCAAGGUGCAGUACCAGAACUCGUGCUGUUUAAUGACCAUGAAGAGGAAAUCGAGCGACUGGUGCUCUCUAGCUUGACUCGGCAAGAGUGCAACGAGCUGCUAGUCUCCAAAGGCUUCAGCAAAAAGUCCAAAGACAAUAAAGACGAGAUGUAGAUCCACCAAUGGUUCGGUCACGCUCGUCCUAAGGAACAAAUUAACCUGGUCGCAACUGGUCACAAAUAAUAAUUGUUAGGGAGGGGACUUAUUCCUCUGAAGAGUCGUUCUCGAUCGUAAAAAUCGUAAACGCACACGUUGUGGAUAUCCAAAGCGCAGAAGUCACGUCCGACAGUAUUUCCAAUGUAAACUGCACGCGUCGCACGAAGUAACGAUCGUUUUCAGGAUACUUCUAUUACGCACAAGUUAUUCUCUUUCGUCGAUUGCUAUUAUUUCUUUGAUGCAAUUGGUGAGGAGAGAAGCUGCAUACCUCCCCCCCCCCGUGAGCUGCAAUCUGUGAUAACGACACUAGAUCGACGGUACGAUGGAUUUUUACGUUACAGCAUGUAAUCCGUUGCUUCUAAUUCUUUAAUUCUCCCGCGCGCGACAGAGUUUCGUCGUAUCAAAACAAGAUCAAAAUAAUUGUAUGAACUUACGAAUGUGUACUACCAGAUGUACCAUUACAGUUAAUAAUGUUAGAUUAAAUGCAUAAUAUAUUAAAUAACUUUAAGGAGA
rnacentral:misc_RNA from 1 species